CCUACGGGAGGCAGCAGUGGGGAAUAUUGGACAAUGGGCGAAAGCCUGAUCCAGCAAUGCCGCGUGAGUGAUGAAGGCCUUAGGGUUGUAAAGCUCUUUUACCAGGGAUGAUAAUGACAGUACCUGGAGAAUAAGCUCCGGCUAACUCCGUGCCAGCAGCCGCGGUAAUACGGAGGGAGCUAGCGUUGUUCGGAAUUACUGGGCGUAAAGCGUACGUAGGCGGUUAUUCAAGUCAGAGGUGAAAGCCUGGAGCUCAACUCCAGAACUGCCUUUGAAACUAGAUAGCUAGAAUCUUGGAGAGGUGAGUGGAAUUCCGAGUGUAGAGGUGAAAUUCGUAGAUAUUCGGAAGAACACCAGUGGCGAAGGCGACUCACUGGACAAGUAUUGACGCUGAGGUACGAAAGCGUGGGGAGCAAACAGGAUUAGAUACCCUGGUAGUCCACGCCGUAAACGAUGAUAACUAGCUGUUCGGCUCUACGAGCUUGUAGUGGCGCGAGACUACGACAUUAAGUUAGUCCGUCCGUCGGGUAGGUACGGUCGGCGAGAAGUUAAACGUACUAAUUAGUUAAGUUAGUUACGGCGUGAGACGUUGCCGACGGACGACGACGAGGGAGGAGG
rnacentral:rRNA from 1 species